GCUGAUAAAUCGGAAUAAGAGCCGAGGGACGCCGGUGACGACGCCCGGCUUGGCAUAUUGGUCGUGUCGCAGGCCUCCCGGGGUGAAUCGCCGACGGCCUCCCCACCUUAUUGGGUUCCAGGAACAUAUUGGUCUUGUGAUAUUCCAAGUCUGUAUUUUGGCAUGUCUUCUUUGGUUUCACAAACUUGUAUGAUUCGCCUAAAAUGACAUGAACGCAUCAUUCAAAAUGGUAGUGAUGAAAUGCAGUGACAAUUCAGACGUCCUCAUAACGUUACUGGGUCUAAUUCAGCAAAUUAGAAACAUGCAUGUAAUCAUAGUAUCUAAAAGGAAAACAAGUAGAAGCACCAUGUAAUACAAGAUCUUCCUUGGAUUAUUUGUUUUA